GAUGAAGAACGCAGCGAAAUGCGAUAAGUAAUGCGAAUUGCAGAAUUCCGUGAGUCAUCGAAUCUUUGAACGCACAUUGCGCCCUUUGGCAUUCCGAAGGGCAUGCCUGUUCGAGCGUCAUUUAUCAACCCUCAAGCCCGGCUUGCGGUUGGGUCCCGCCGUGGGCGACCACGGCGGACCCGAAAGGUAAUGGCGGUGCCCGUGGGGCCCUGGACGCAUCGAGCUUCUCGGCACGCGUCCCGGCGGUCCCCGGCGCCGUCUCCACCAAUCCACCACGCAGAUUGACCUCGGAUCAGGUAGGGAUACCCGCUGAACUUAAGCAUAUCAAUAAGCGGAGGA
rnacentral:misc_RNA from 1 species